rnacentral:rRNA from 1 species
ACAUGCAUACAACAUAGUGUUAAUACAUCAGAUCCCAUUAGAACUUCAUAGUUAAGCACACUCGGGCUAGAGUAGUAUUAAGAUGGGUCAUCGCUUGGGAAGUCCUAGCGUGUUACAUGCC